rnacentral:rRNA from 1 species
AACGAACGCUGGCGGCAUGCCUAACACAUGCAAGUCGAACGAGACCUUCGGGUCUAGUGGCGCACGGGUGCGUAACGCGUGGGAACCUGCCCUUAGGUUCGGAAUAACUCCCCGAAAGGGGUGCUAAUACCGGAUAAUGUCUUCGGACCAAAGAUUUAUCGCCUUUGGAUGGGCCCGCGUUGGAUUAGCUAGUUGGUAGGGUAAAAGCCUACCAAGGCGACGAUCCAUAGCUGGUCUGAGAGGAUGAUCAGCCACGCUGGGACUGAGACACGGCCCAGACUCCUACGGGAGGCAGCAGUGGGGAAUAUUGGACAGUGGGCGAAAGCCUGAUCCAGCAAUGCCGCGUGAGUGAUGAAGGCCUUAGGGUUGUAAAGCUCUUUUACCCGGGAUGAUAAUGACAGUACCGGGAGAAUAAGCUCCGGCUAACUCCGUG